CCCGUCCCGCCGCCGCCCCAACACCAGCAGAAGCCGCCGGCGCCGCAGCCCGGCACGUACGUGGUGCAGGUGCCCAAAGACUAGGUCUUCCGCGUGCCGCCGCCGGAGAACGCGCGCCUCUUCCAGCACUACACCCGCCGCGCCGACUGCUCCUGCCUCCGCGCCUGCCUCUACCUCUCCCUCGCCGUCCUCCUCGCCGCCGCCGUCGGGGUCGUCUACCUCGCCUUCAAGCCCAGGCAGCCGGCAUACUCGGUUGUGUCCCUCGCAGUGUCGGGCCUCGCCGGCGUCAGCAACGCCUCGGCCCCCGGCCCGCUCUCGCCGGGGUUCGCCGCGACCGUCCGCGCCGACAACAGCGCCAACGGCAAGGUCGGCGUGCACUACGACGGCGCCGGGAGCCGCGUCGCCGUGUCGUACGAGGGCGUGAGCCUGGCGGACGGCGCGUGGCCGGCCUUCUACCAGGCGCCCUGCAACAUCACGGUGUUCGUGGCGAAGGCGAAGGGCAGCGGGAUAUGGUUCUCGGAGCGCGAGCGCGGGCAGAUGGCCGCGGCGGAGCGGCUCCGAUCGGUGCCGUUCAACGUGGAUAUCACGGUGCCCGUGCGGCUGCAGCUCGGCGGCGUGAGGACGUGGGCCGUGCCGGUGACGGUUCGGUGCGCCAUGACGGUGGACAGGCUCGCCGCCAGCGCCAAGGUGGUGUCCAGGCCGUGCGACGUCAAUGUGCCGUUCUUGUUCCGUUCUGGAGGAACUGACGCCGCCGAUGUAAGAAAAAAUGGCUAA
rnacentral:rRNA from 1 species